CACCUCGAGUACUGCGUUCAGUUUUGGGCCUCUCACUACAAGAAGGACAUGGAGGUGCUCAAGAGAAUCCAGAGAAGGGUAACGAGGCUGGCGAGGGGUCUGGAGAACUAGUUUUAUGUGGAGCAGCUGUGGGAGCUGGGACUGUUCAGCCUGGAGAAAAGGAGGCUCAGGGAUGACAUUAUCGCUCUCUAUAGGUACAUUAAAGGAGGCUGGAGUGAGGUGGGGGUUGGUCUAUUCUCCCAUGUGCCUGGUAACAGGACGAGGGGAAAUGGGCUAAAGUUGCACCAGGGGAGGUUUAGGAUGGAUAUUAGGAA